rnacentral:lncRNA from 1 species
GAGCUAUUAGGACCCAAUUGCAAAAUUUAAAAAUUUUGUGGGCUUAAAUUAUAAUUCUUACAAAGAUUAGGGGGUCAAAAUAAAAAAUAAAGUUUAGGGAUCAAAUUACAAUUAAAUUAAGGAUCUAAUUAAAAGAAUCAAAAUUUUAGGGCCACAAUGAAAUUACUUAAAAGAUCAAGCAUCUAACUACAAAUUCCGUUUUUGGGUUCUUAAGGAAAAAGGUCAUUGAACCAUUUUAUUUAUUUUCUUGGGCCGAAACCCCGUUUGGCCCAAAGGAAAAUCUAGAGAAAAGGGAAAGGAUGGUCCAUUUUCUGGUUCAACCAAAAGCGUUAGGUUCAGGCUCCAAAACUCAUGUCAUAACCUAAAAAGAAAAAAAAAAAACACAGAAACAAACAAACCCAUUGCCCCAAAGUCCAACAAAUAACCCAAACCCAUUUCCUAAAUUAUUUUCAGAAACCCAAAAUAAAAGAAAAGGAAAUGUUUAACUAGGAAUUUAAAUCUAAUAAAAAUACUUAAGCCUUAAUUAUAACCUAAAAUCUAGAAAUAAUUCACUCAAAACAUAUAUAGGACACCUAAAGGAAAAUCAAUACUUGAAAAGGGGGAAUUAAUUCAUUUUUCACAAAAUUUUGGGCCUUAAAGCAAUUGUUCAAGAUGGGGGGCCAAUUUGCAAUUUUGGAUUUUCUCCAUGCAAGAACAAUCGAAGCUUUCUGAACUUUUGGAAGUUCAUCAAAACCCAGAAACCAUUCCCAAAUGACUUCCAAAAUUUCAGAUCCAAAAAGCAUAAGAUUAUGCAACCUCGUCAUCAACACAAAAUCUUAUCACCCAACUGCAAGAUUAAACACAAAAAUCAUGUAAUAAGAAUCUAAACUAGUGGCCCGCAACAAGAGUAGGGAAAACAGCAGCGAAAGGAAAAAACAAUCAAGUGCAGCAAACUUCGAUGGAUUGGGUGAGAAUCUAGGCUUAUAUGAAGAGGAAAGGAGUGAAAUAAGCUACCUUUUAACGCUUUAGGGAGCUGAAGUAACGUGGCAAAUCUCAAGCAAAACGAAUCCAGAUGUUGGAAGAUAAAGAACAAGCUUCGUUGCAUAAAGUUCAAGAGUUACGACUGCAGCGAGUUCAAGCUUUAAUUCGAAGAGGUUACAGCACUUUUUUUCAAAAAUUUUCUAAAUGAAACUUCUUCUACUAAGAUCCUAGAUUACCAGAAAUCAAGAUCUCCCCCAAUGAGGCUGUAUAAAAAGAGAAAAUCGAGCUGCAAGACAACGGAUCAGUCAACCUCUUUUUUUUUUUUCAAAAAAUUUCUGCAAAAACCCUCCUUUUUUUCUCUCUCUUUUCUCUCUUUUUUCUCUUUUCUCCCACCUCAGAUUCUUGAGCAGCCGACUUUUGCUAC